CGGGACUUUCCCUGACCUCUGGGCUGGGUCACAGCCUGCUUCUCCCACCUUUACUAACUCCCUCGUCUCAGCUCAGGCACCAGCCACCAGGAAAGCCCCUUCCAGGGGACUAGGAAAGUCACUUUCAGAGCCCAGCUUCCACUGGCCUGUGUGGACAGCCCGCCAGGGCUGGAACUAGAGAACUCUGCUGAGGAGAAGCAGCAGAAUGUAUCCUACAGGAUAUCGAUGUGUUGUUUUUGUCACUGGUAUUCACCUCACACCUGGAGCAUCUGGGAGAAGAGGUCUGGAUGGAGAGGAAUCACAUUCUGCUUACUACUUCCAGGAAUGGAUUCCUUCCCACAAGAUUGGCAGUUCUUUAAAAUUUGGGAUGAAAGAUGUCGCCACCGUUCUUAUUAGCAUAUAUUAAUUGUACAGUGUACUUCAAUUAUGCUUAUUUCCCAUCACUCUAUCUUCCGAUUUUGCUCUCCGCUUCUCAGAUAGUCUGAGAUGAGAAAUUUAUUCCUUAUGAAUGUCAAGAUAGGUGUUGUGCCAAUGAAGGGAGUUGAGAUUUAUGGGCACCGACUGUCUUAGAACUUGAGCUAAAAGCAUCAUUUGAAUUUUCCUUAAUAUUUAUUAUAUUUAGGAAGCAUAAAGACAUCUCAUGCUUUGAAAUUUCUAGUCCUAUUUAAGAGAGAUUUUCUGAGUGAAAGGCCACCAGGUGACAUCUACUGUCUAGAUUGUACUACCGAAGUGGGAUUUGAUUCCAGGAACACAAACAGUCCUAGAAAGUAGAAUGAAACACAGAGUCAAGCAUCUGAAUGGACGAAGAGAGCUGUAGACAUCAGAAAACGACUCUGCCUCAUACCCCUGAAGACCUGUUGCUGUUUCCUGCAGGCAUGGAGAAAGCCUGCCAACUUUGGAGGCUAGAAAAGAACCUGGGUCCCAAGAUAAGUUGUGAAGAAUGGGAAGCCCAAGAUAAGGCAGCAGCAGAUUUGCUGCCUCCUACUUGCUUUCUUCUCAAGAUGAGGCCUUCCUUCUCUUUGAAUCCUUUUUUGUAAGGAUCCUAAUCCACAGCUUCAUUUCUUGUCAUCAUCAUCAUCAUCAUCAUCAUCAUCAUCAUCAUCAUCUUAAUGUAUGAAUUUCACGAAGACACAGACAUUCAGACCACAGCAGACGGGAUUCCCAAAUUGGUGCCAUACCUGUGCUUUCAACAGGUCAUACCCCAGUUCUGCUGACCACCUGUCCUAACUGAUGGUGCAGGUUCCAGACCAAUGGUUUCCAUAGAGAAGCCCCAUUAUUAGGACUUGUUAGAUAUAAAACAGUUCCUUGGUUCUAGGUAGUGCUUUGGAAAUAGCUUAGUGGAGCAGGUUUAAAAAUGGUGGCUCUUGGCAGAUACAAUGCAGAUGGAAAAACAGAUAUGCUGGAAUAUCACUUCCUUUGUUUGAAAAAUUCCACUUAUUUAAUGUAAAUAGUGUCACUAGAAAACUGCUCAGAUUUUCCUAGGCAUAGUAAAAAAUCAGGGUAAGAAUUGGCAUUAUAUAUAUAUAUAUGUAUAUAUAUAUAUAUAUGUAUAUAUAUAUAUAUAUAUAUAAAUAGCAUUCCACUUCCUCCAGGAACCCCCAACUUCCUCCUUCUACUUCCCCCAGGAAGUGAUGGAAUCUCAAAUUUUAAGACCCCAUUAUGGAUCAAACAAUGUAAACAAAUGUACAAAGAAUGUGAGAUUAAUUUUGCUUAUAACUUGGCUGCUUGAGGUAUACCUGGAGAACUGGUCUCUCUCUCUCUCUCUGAAUUAGUUUGAUAUAGUCCCUAAUAAAAAACUAAAUUAAAAUUCUUUUACAGCUCUGACCAUGGAGUAGGGGGAAGUUAAUGUGGUAUGUGGUUAUAGAGGAGGCUUGAUGGACCACCAAAGCCAGCUCUUAAUGUCUUAUGGAGAAGUCAAAAGACUGUGUGUAAAGUUUAUAGGUCUUUUCCCAAGAGCUUCAUGUAUUCUAAUUUAUUUAAGUUUGAAAUGACUCAGUGUGCUUUUAAAAAAAGCACAUGAACUUGGUAGAAAAAAUGGUGGGGGAAUAGGGGAGGAAUUGGGGGAAAAGGAAUGGUGUAUAUAGUUGAUCAAAACACAGUAUAUGCAUGUACAAAAUUCUCAAUAAAAAAGAAAAAAAAUUCACAUGAAAAGUUUUCAUUUUAAAAGAAAAUGUGCAGAGUCAUUUUAUAAAGUAAAGACAUCUGAA